AUGAACUUGUGUACCGAGUGAGUUGGAAGGGAUGGAUUUGCAAAAUGGUUAAUGCAUACGUCACAUCCCUGCUAAGCACACUGGAAAGGAAGGACCAACUACAGACAGCUGAGACGUUAGCUGCGGACAGCCACCAGAACUGGAAAGUGUUCUGUCUUCAAGGCAUUCACUGUGUUCCCAUGACACCAAAGCUCACCUUCUGUCCCUAAAGUUCCAGGUUCCCAACUCAGAAGCCCGCUGUGAGCCUCAUAGCCACCAAACGUCCUCAGGCCAGCUCCAUUUCUCACUUGUCACCUGGUCGUACUGACAGGAUUCAGACACAGGCGGAAUUGGCAAAUUUGCUGUGGACCAGAUGUGACAAGGCGGGAAAAUCUUUUUCUUUUUUCUGGUUGCUCCGACAGUCUACUCUCUGCAAUGCUGUGAUCAGCCAUUCAGAAAUGGAAAGAGCAGCUGACUGCAGAUGAAGUUCUUCUCUCUGGACAGUGGCCGAGCACACCCUAGGCACAGUAUGGAGCACACCAACGUUUGGUGGAUAUUAGCUGAUGUUAUCAUCUGAGGCCGGAAAAGAAAAAUCAUCUGGAAUAUCCGUAACCACAUCACUCAGUUUUUAUCUAAAUAAAUGCUUCCAAACUGGUUAUCAGCCUACUUGCAAAGGUGGAGUGUAUCAUAUUACAGACAGAGCUGCGCCCUGUUCUUAUGAUUUAACUGUCCCUCACCCUACAGUACUCUCCUCCAGUCUUUGAGAAAACAUCUUUCUAGGAAGCAAUUCAUUCAUUCAUUCAUUCAUUCAUUCAUUCAUUCAUUCAUUCAUUCAUCUACUCUCAUUCAUCCAUUCAUUAAUCAACAAAUACCCACUGAGAAAAACCUACCAUGUACCACCUUCUGAGUAGACCAAAAACACCAAAACUUUGGGGUGUUCAGACACAACAAAAUUCAGUGCAGGAGUGAAUGCAAACGGGGGGUGCCUCUUACAUCUCAGACAUGUCAGGGACACCUGCUCCU